rnacentral:rRNA from 1 species
AGGGAAUCUUCCACAAUGGACGAAAGUCUGAUGGAGCAACGCCGCGUGAGCGAAGAAGGUUUUCGGAUCGUAAAGCUCUGUUGCCGGAGAAGAACGUGCAGGAGAGGAAAUGCUCUUGCAGUGACGGUAUCCGGCCAGAAAGCCACGGCUAACUACGUGCCAGCAGCCGCGGUAAUACGUAGGUGGCAAGCGUUGUCCGGAAUUAUUGGGCGUAAAGCGCGCGCAGGCGGCUUCUUAAGUCUGAUGUGAAAUCUUGCGGCUCAACCGCAAACGGUCAUUGGAAACUGGGAAGCUUGAGUACAGAAGAGGAGAGUAGAAUUCCACGUGUAGCGGUGAAAUGCGUAGAUAUGUGGAGGAAUACCAGUGGCGAAGGCGGCUCUCUGGUCUGUAACUGACGCUGAGGCGCGAAAGCGUGGGGAGCAAAC